CACCGGAUGCCGCCGAGUCGCUGCACGCAGCGAACCGGGGACCCACCGCACCACUGGGGUGAAUCCCGCCCGGGCAGCCGCCCGGCCGGGUAGGGCCGCUUCCCGCCCGAACCCGUCAGCUGACUCGGUAGGCGGCCACGGAAGACCCA
rnacentral:sRNA from 2 species